AAAUAUUAUUUCAUAAACGUAUGAAGGAUGAUGGAUAUAUUUUAUUUCAAGGUACUACGGAAGAAGUUAAACUUCUUUUCGAAAUAGCAAACACAAACCACAACCUACUGCAAUUUACUUAUGAAAUUGACAGACAAAGUUUGAAAUUUCUAGACUUAGAAACGUAUAAAGGACAGAGAUUUCAAAAAGAAAAUAUCUUAGAUAUUAGAUGUUUCACAAAACCAACUGAAAAAUUCCAAUAUCUACACCAAAAUUCUAACCACGC
rnacentral:lncRNA from 1 species